GACGAACGCUGGCGGCGUGCUUAACACAUGCAAGUCGAACGCAGUGGCGAACGGGUGAGUCACGCGUAAUCACCCUGCCCUUCAGAGGGGGACAACAGGUGGACACGACUGCUAAUCCCGCAAACUGCAGGAGGGGAUUGCGUGGGAUUAGCUAGUUGGAGGGGUAACGGCCCAACAAGGCGAUGAUCAGGAGCCGGUCUGGGAGGGUGAUCGGCCACAUUGGGACUGAGACACGGCCCAGACUCCUACGGGAGGCAGCAGUGGGGAAUCUUCCGCAAUGGACGAAAGUCUGACGGAGCAACGCCGCGUGAGUGAAGACGGCCUUCGGGUUGUAAAGCUCUGUUAAUCGGGACGCGGUACCGGAAUAGAAAGCCACGGCUAACUACGUGCCAGCAGCCGCGGUAAUUC
rnacentral:rRNA from 1 species